UGGAUUCAUGGUCCAGUACCUUCAGGGGUAGAGGUACUCAAACUUCAUGGACCGGAUGAUGGUUUGUGUCCUCUUUGUGAUACGGCACCAGAGGACUGAAAUCUAUCUUAUUCUGGUGUGUUUUAGUGUAAUUCUUGUGGAGUUGCUUCAGGGAAGUGGUAGGUGGUGCCACACCAGCUUACCUGACCUCUUUGAGGAAUUGAUGGCCUGCCGGUAGGGACGCGCCACAUUAUGUGGAUUGGGAUCGGGGCCCUUUAUUGGACCCUUUGGACGAUUCAUAUAAUUAGCUAGUUAUCAAACGCUUUCCGUUGCGACGCCCGAUCGAUGUGAUAUAUAAAUUUUGUGGCUUUAUACAAAUUUGGAGGCCGCUUAGCAGCACCGCGGAUCACGCAGCCAUUGAUGUUCUAUUGGUUGGCUUCAGGACCUUGGCUCUUCGCUUGUCUUCGCCCCUUCCGUCGCCAUCUCCAGAGCCAGAUUAGCCGUGAUUGCCGCUAACCCCUGUGCGUCAUUUUGUGGUUUUUUGCUUGUUGAGUUGGGGCCCUCAACAUGGAUCUGUUCCUAUGUUUCAUUUGUACUCUGUGAGUUGUUUUCAUUCUUUCUUUUGUUGGUACCCGUCGUGGUUCCAUUUGUUAACUUUGGAUGCUUAUGCCCUAUGGUGCUUUAUUUAUAAAAUGAGGCGUAAAGCCUUUUUUAGUUGGUGCAGGUAUGGUACUCACAAAUGGUGCAGGAGAGGUCAUCAUUGCCUCCUGUCAACUGUUGUUCUACUAAAACGAAUACACUUGAUUUUUUUUUGAGAAAGAAAUUACAAAUGCAACGCUCACAUACACACGAACACUCAUCAUUAUGAACAUACACACGCAUACCCCACCCCUAGGAGCAUCUCUGAAAGACUGAAGCGGCAAACCUUGGGAUUGACAAAGUCACCCGAUGCACUUUCCAAUCGAUGCGAACAUCAUCUCCCGCUGAAUACACAUCUCCGGAAUGCCUAAAAUAAAAUUCAGAAAAAUGUGAACACCCAUGUCAAGUCUGAGAGACUUGAACUUUGAUGGGCUGGUUCCACCAAAAAAAUCUAACCAUCUAAGUUUACACUCAAUUUGCUAUUUGUAUGCAUAUCUUACAAACUCACACUCCCUACACAUCCAUCCCCACAGUGUUCUCACUAACCACAAGGACGCCGUCCGUCUCCUUUUUCGUGGUAUCGUUGUCCCCCUCAGUGGGAGCCACAACCACUGACGUGUUGGGCUUGUACUCGUGCUGCCUCGCAAUCACCACGAACACAACGAAGUUGACCACCCCAAGCACAGCCAGCAUCCAGUAGAACAAGUCAAGCCUCCCCCUAUCCAGGUUAUUCCGUAUCCAUGCCCCUCUUGUCACGGUGUGGACAAGGAAAACGAGGAAGCUACUCAAGAAGAACCCCAUGGACAACGUGACCAGAAAAAGGCCCGUGCUCAUGGACUUCAUCCUCUCCGGCGCCUCGCGGAUGAAGAAUUCGAGCUGCCCCACGUACGCGAACGCCUCGCCGGCGCCCACGAUGAAGAACUGCGGCACCAGCCAGAACGCGCUGAUGGCAACUUGCGACUCCCCGUUCGCCGCGUCGCGGCGCAUCUUCUCGACUAGCGCGGCCACGACCAUGGCCACGGUUGCGAAGACAAGGCCCGUUCCUACGCGCUGGAGCGAGGUGAGCCCCUGCGCGCGGCCGGUGAGGCGGGCGGCGAGCGGCACGAGGAAGCGCUCGUUGAGGGAGGUGAAGAGGAGGAUGGAGAGGAAGAGGAAGACGGAGAGGGAACCGGCGGGGAUUUCGAAGCCGGCAUUGAGGCGACGGUCCAUGUGGGUGGCUUGCUCCACGGAGAAUGUGGUCAUCUGGGAGUAUAUUGUCCAGAAGAGGAUGCAGGUGGACCAGAUAGGCAUCAACUUCACCACCAUCUUCACCUCCUCCACUUCCGUCAUUGUUGAGGUUGAUGCCUGCUCCUGCUUUUUCGGAGUUGCGGCCAGGUCGACUUGAUCCAUCACUGCAGCUUUGUCGAGGCACCUGCAUGGGGAUCACAAAAGUUAAUCAUGCACAUUUUAAGCAAAAACAUGGACAAAUAUCGUAUAUAAUAGCAGUCUUGAUAAAUCUCGGUCGAUUGAGACUUCGUUAUGUCUCGGUCGAUGAUACAUUGAUAAGACAGUCUAUCUUAAACCACCCCACAUGAUUUAUUUUUUCUCUAUUUUUGGAUCUGGAUCCAUUUGAGUUUGGAGCAGAAGAUCCAUGUACCCGAGUUAUCCUUUUUGUUAGCUUCCCUGGCAACUCCAUCUCAACGUCGACACAGACAUGACACGGGGACAAGUGGCGUGCUCGUACUAGCGGAAGAGUACACAUCAUAAUUAUGAAGUCCUAGCUGUCCCGGACGAACGGUGCUAGUCCACAGUCCAUGUUAACCAUGGGAAAUUAUGUGGCUGAUAUCCAAAACACCAUUUUGUUUAUUUCGAAUGAAAUAAGAUAAAAUGAUGAUGGAAACAACGAACGAUCGAGCAGUGAUAUUUGAUAUUAUAAUACGAACAGCUAGCCACAUGCAUAUGAUCCUACUCAGACAGCAAGUAGCACAUCUUGUCAGCAUCUUUAGGAUGGAAAUGGCCCAUCCACCAUUAUUAUUUUUGUGUGGUAGCGUUUACAAUUUCGGUAACAGAAAAAUUUGUAUCUCAUGCAUGUAUCCAAAAUUUAGGUAAUUUAAAAAGUGGAUUUCAAUCUAUCAAAAUCGACUUAACUUUAGUAAAAAAUGGUCAAAUUCAAAUAUUGUUUGAACGAACUUCAUUAACAUGCUUGAAAAUAGCACGUAGUUACUCGUCGGCAUCUAGUUAAUGCAAAUGGCCUCCAAAAAGAGUGAUGUAAACAUGGUUUUCACUCAGUGAGAUUUCGAUGAAAUUCACUGAAUUUCAUUAAUUUCAGCAGACAUUGAAAUAUCUACCUUCUGGCCAAAAUAUUUCAGCAAUUUUUCAGUAGUACACAUGAAUUCAAAUAUUUUUCAAAUUAUUUUUCAAAAAAAUUCAAACAUGUAAUUGAAUUCAGGUUAAUAUUUCAGCGUUUUGACCGAAAUGCAAACUGAAAUCACUGAUAUUCACUGAAAUUCGGUGAUUUCGGUUGGUGCUGAAUUUUUCUUGAAAUAUAAAUACUAAUAAUUACCUGAGCCUGUCAGUAUGGGCCACCUUGGCCGUGUGGAAUCCAUUGAGCUCAUCGGCAUUGGCAGGGGUCGGCAGCUUGCGCUUCUUCCACGCCGUCCACAGCACCCUACCGAUGACCGUGAGCGGGCUCCCCGCCGGCCGCCGGUACCUGUACUUGGACGUCCCCGCCACGAGCACGACGACGCCGAGGGCCAUGGCGGCGGCCGACACGCCGUAGCCCCAGCCCCGUCCGACGUUGUCCUGCACGUACACCAGCACGGUGACCGCGAACAGGGACCCUAGGCUGAUGCAGAAGUAGAAGCGGUUGAAGAAGAAGACCAUGGCGCGCUCCUCCCGCGGGUUCCGGCCGUCGAACUGGUCCGACCCGAACCCCGACACGUUGGCCUUGAGCCCCCCCGCGCCGGCCGCGAUGACGUACAGCGCCACGUACAGCAGCGUCAGCUGCCCGCCGCUCGCCGGCACGCACUCGUGCCCCUGCGCGCCCCGCGCGUCCACGCACGGCGGCGGCCUCAUGCUCGGCGCCACCGUGUCCACCGCCAGCAAGCUCACGCCCUGUGUUGGUCCAUCGGUUAGCGACGCAAUGCAUGCAAGCACGGUACAAGUGGAAGUGGAUGCGUGUGGUAGGUUAAUUACUGCGGCGGCGAUGGUGGCCGAGACGGCGAUGGUGAGGUACCGGCCGAGCUUGGCGUCGGCGAGGAAGCCGCCGACGAUGCCUAGGAGGUUGAGGGUGCCCAUGAAAUUGGUGACGAUGGUGGCAGAUUUGGCGUUGGAGAGGUGCAGCUCGCCGACGAGGUACGUCACCAGGUUCAUGGAUAUGCCCAUCACGCACACACGCUCCGCAAGCUCCGUCCCUGCACCAGCAAGUCCAGAUUAACGCCAUUGAUGGCUUUACACGCGCCCUGAGCUCAUUAAUACAGCCUUCAAAUUCAAGUGCGCCGGCUGAAUGCGGCGCACAUGACGGCGUACGUAUACGUACCUAGGAUAAGUCCGGCUCCGAGCCAUCCCCCGGUCUUGGAUUUGUCCACCGGGUUGCCGCGGAAGUCGACGGCAUCAUCGGCGUCGCUGUAGCCGCCAUGGCCGCCGGCAGAAACCUGCAUGUGUUUGCACAGAACCGUGAGCAACUCGCCAUGCAAUCUCAUGCAGAUAACUAAUCAUCCUCAUGCAAGCAUGUGCAUGCCCACCCAGCUAAUGUCUGGGCACUCACCAUUGCCGGUGCUAGCUUGUGUACGUAGACAGGGAAGGAGGAGAGGAACGUUUGUGUUGUGAGGCAGGCUGAGAGGAUGAGCAAGAGAUCGAUGAUUUAAGCUCUCGUGGUUGUGGUUGAUGCUGAGUUUCGCUGGUUGCUUGUCUGGAUUAACUUCCGUUUUCUGGCCAGGUAGCGCGAAAAAGAGAAAAAGUGGAGAUGAUCUAGCGGCAGUGAGCGGGCAGGGACUGGAGGAUGUAUGCUGGCCACGUCUUUGCCAUCGGACGGACAAGUAAGAUGAUGACCUGGGCGGUUGCGUGGUUUGUGACUUUGUGGUGGGUGGCUCUGGCUUGGCCAACAUUUUCCGUGUAAGCUUUCUCCGUGUGGAUUAUGGACUCCGUACUAUAAGCAUAUUCCGUACCGGUCCACCCGUAGGUGUAACACAACAUCAGUAUUUUUGAAUGAUGUGAAGAUUGCUCACCACGCCUGCCUGCCGCGCGGUAGGUGUAACAUCAAUAUAAUCCUAAACGUGCGGACCUAUUACUUGAGUUUUAUGCCCUGUUCGAUAAUCACCCACUCACGAAAUCUGCGGAGCGAGGAAACUGCAACUCCACCAUUUUGAACUACAUCUCCGCCAACUCCGCUCCCGGAGGUGUGGAGCGGAGCGAUACCGAACAACGCCUUACUCUCUGGCUCUCUGCCCCCCUCUAAUUUCAGCCGGUGCAGGCCCCUGUCACUAAUCCUACUGACCCAUGUUAAUAGAUCCGUUAAAUACAUAACAAAGCCCCCAUAGCUCUAUCAUUACUCGUGUAAGAUUAUCGACUCCGUGAUAGCACUUUUCUUUUGUAUUUUGUUUCUCGAAAAACUUGUAGCUAAACCUGGGUGUAUUGCACCCUUGAUGAUUUGUGGCUUCGAAUAUGCAUCAAUAUUUUAGAAAUGCAUGUGUUUAUGGCCAAUGAGCGGCUCACAUUAUGUCACACAUACGGGAUAACUUGCACGCAAGAUAGGGCACUUAGAGUUCUCAUUUUUAUGUAAAAAGAUUGUAAUCCCCUUUUUAAUAGUUUUGUAGCCAUAUCUCGCCAUACUACAGUGGUAGUAGUGAAGACGUAGGGGUUAGCCGAGAGAGUUAAGUUGGACAAAAAAGGCAUGAUGGAGAGUUUGGCUUGGUGGCUUUGGAAGCACCAGAAAUGGGUGCAUCUUUGACAGGCAACACCCCUCCAUCUCGUGCCUGGUGCAACAAAUCCAAGACGACACAUGCCGAUGGGCCAAGGCAGGGGCCUUCAGGUGAGAUAGUUUGUUGCCCGAGAGAUAGGCUUUUGUUAUGGUGGGCAGAGCAUCCCAUGUCUCUGCUCCGGUCAUUCACCUUUGUGCCAUCGUCAAUGAGCACGUGCAAGUGAUGACCGUACGUCUGUACCAUGUACACCCAACUCUUAGGGUGUGUUUGGUUCGAGAACGAAGUGGAAUGGAAUGUCAUGGUUUCAUUCCACUGGAAUAGGUUGGUUCCGUCCUUGUGGAAUUCACAGGAAUGGAAUGGUUACAUUUCGGUGUUUAGUUUCUGAGAUGGAAUGGAAUGAAUUUGUUGAUUGCACCACUCAAAUUAUUGACUUUGGCAUCAAGUACAAACAGGAUACAUGUAAUAAAAAAUUGUCAAAUAAAUGCUAGUUAUUCCGUCAUACACAUGUUAAGAAUCUGUCAAAAUACAAAUAUCUACAUGUCAAAAAUCUGUAAAAAAUACAAGUAUCUACAUGUCCAAAAACUGUCAAAAUACAAGUCAUCCAUCUACAUGUUGAAAAUCAAGCUUGCCAUGAUUAGGAAAAGGUACCAAGGUGUUGUGAUUAGGGAUAAUACAAGGCAUCCACCCCUAAACGGUUCCCAAAUCUUGUUGUGAUAGCUACGAAUGAAAUCAAUCAUUGUCGUCGCCGCUUGCAGCUACUUGCCCAGUCGCCGGCCAGCGCCAGAAAUUCGCCACCGAGGGGCUUGCGAGGUGCAGCCGCUCGUUGUAUUCCAGCUUCAGCUAGCGGAGAACCGCAGCGAUCCGGCGCGGAGCUUGGGCAAGGAGGCCGGAGGCCGGCGGAGCUCUGGUAGGCGAUAGAGAGAGGCGUUGCCGGAGAGUGAGAGACGAGGAGACGCGGCGCCGGAGAAGGGGAUAAGAAAGGGCGCAGAACGACAGGGAGUGGUGGCGCUGGGAUUGGGUUCGGAGACGAGGGAGUCGUGGGGGAGGCAGGAGAUGCGAGGCGUUCCGCGUGGUUCCUCCAAAUCGGAGGUACGAGUGUGUUCCGCAUCUCACGCGAAUAUUCCGUUUGAGGGAAUGGAUAGGUUCCAAUUCUUCGCUGCUACCGAACACAGGAAUCAGGCCUAGGAACGUAAUGGACCCGUUACAUUCCACCCCAUGACCUGAAACAAACACACCCUUACUUUCCUAUCAAUGUAGUGAUACUCAAUCUUUGCACAUUCGGGAAAAAAUUAUGGAGCUUGUCAACGAAACCAUGGCGGAGGCACCUAGUGUACUUUCAUUGUGAGCUGACGCCCAUCAGCCAAAGAUGUGACAUAUUUCUCGGAACAAGCUUUCACCCCCUUUAUAUAUAAAGCAAUCACCGAACCAAGUACACGGUCUAAACACCUAAGCUUCAUGACUACGCCCCCAGGAGGGAAAACGGCCCAAAGCGUCGCCGCUGCCGAGUCCAGAAGGGACAAGGGUCUUCAUCCGAAACCCUGGCACGAAGAGGACCACCACGACGACGUCUUCAAAAAGAAAGUGGCGUCCGCAAGCGUCGUCGUCGUCAGCGUCAAAGCGCAGAGCUUUCGCUCGGUGCCAAAGUUGUGCCAUAUUGGCUUAGAAAAUACAAGAGUAUGCAAGCAGACACUAAUAAACCAAAAACUUAAUCACUUAAACAAAAACCAAAUUUAGUGUCAUGACAAAACAUCGUUUAGAGUAAGACAUAUAUUCUUUUUGACAAUCUAAGUAUAUAUAGUAAGAGCAACUCCAAUGUUUCGUCCGCUCAUGUCCGUUAGGGUUCGUGCGGACAAAAACGACUGCCCAACGUGCGGACCCAUUUCCAUUUUGCGUCCGCUUUGUGUCCGCGCGGACCCAUUUCGGUCUCAAAUUUGGGUUGCAUUUGGAUCCGCGGCGGACACAAAGUGGACGCUUUGUGCGUGCUCCUCGUCCGCUCCGUCCGCUGCAUGCGAGGUAUGGCCUACCUGUCACAGGCUCACUUCUCUGUCCUCCUUUUUUCUGUACUGGCCCACCACCCACGCACCAAUCUCGUCCCACACUGUGCUCCUCGCCGGCGCCCGGAACUACUCCUCGCAGGCGUCCGCAGCUACUCCNNNNNNNNNNNNNNNNNNNNNNNNNNNNNNNNNNNNNNNNNNNNNNNNNNNNNNNNNNNNNNNNNNNNNNNNNNNNNNNNNNNNNNNNNNNNNNNNNNNNNNNNNNNNNNNNNNNNNNNNNNNNNNNNNNNNNNNNNNNNNNNNNNNNNNNNNNNNNNNNNNNNNNNNNNNNNNNNNNNNNNNNNNNNNNNNNNNNNNNNNNNNNNNNNNNNNNNNNNNNNNNNNNNNNNNNNNNNNNNNNNNNNNNNNNNNNNNNNNNNNNNNNNNNNNNNNNNNNNNNNNNNNNNNNNNNNNNNNNNNNNNNNNNNNNNNNNNNNNNNNNNNNNNNNNNNNNNNNNNNNNNNNNNNNNNNNNNNNNNNNNNNNNNNNNNNNNNNNNNNNNNNNNNNNNNNNNNNNNNNNNNNNNNNNNNNNNNNNNNNNNNNNNNNNNNNNNNNNNNNNNNNNNNNNNNNNNNNNNNNNNNNNNNNNNNNNNNNNNNNNNNNNNNNNNNNNNNNNNNNNNNNNNGGCGACAGGCGCGGCAGGACACGGAAGCGGGCGUGCAGGUGGUUGGACGCGGAUGAGGUAGGACGCGGGCGCGCAGCAGGACGCAGGCGCAGGCGCGGCGUGGUAGCAGGUCAGCGCGGGGCGCGCGGGCGGCGGAUACGGGCAAGGCAGGAUGCGGGCGGGGCGACGGGCAUGGCGACGAGCACGGCGAGCGCGGCGCCCAUCAGGUGUUUGUUGAAAUGUCGGGACGUACAUGUCCAAAAUGGGUCAGCUGACCCAAAUAUAAAAGCGGACACGGAUGUCCGUUUGGCCGACCCAAACGGACAAAAAGCGGAUAAAAUCCGCGUCCGUCUGGGUCUUCCCGUUGGAGUUGCUCUAACUUCUUAUUUUCUAUCGAAUGGUCUGAUCUGGAGUAGAAUCAAGAAGUGAUGCUUAUAUGGUUUGCAUUUAUUCAUGGAAUGGAACAAGUUGAAUAUGCUAUAGAGGAAGUACAUGACACUCGGUUCAAAGUACGUCUCACCAAGAUACCUCACCCCCGUACGUAUACUGCAUCGUGCGUGGACGCACGUCAUGUGCGCGUGGGCAGUGCAAAACACAGCCAGUUUGGUGGCGAGGAAGAUCCGAUGGAUUUGUGGGGAGCCACCGCGUGAAGCCGGCCGUCGACGUGCCCCCCGGCCCGCGUGGACGCACAGCGCCGCCGGGCCACACGUAGAAGUCGGCUACGGAACUGCCACCAGGUGGCUGGCUCCGGGACGGAGGUUGCCGUCGACGCUGACUUGUCAAGAUCUCACUGGCUGCCGCGGUUCGACGUGGACGGACGGCUCCUUCCUGCGCGACGGCAAGUCUGCCAAGCAGCCAGCUCCACCGGCCGAAUGGAGUUUGAGUUGUUGGACUGGCCGGAUGGGGACACGCAUCCAUGCAGGCCAGGCAAUUCCGACGCUGACGUGGCGCCAGCUAGCUAGCGAUUACCGGAUGAACCCGCCUCGGAUGAUUUGCGUGGCGGGACGUCUCUACAAUCUCAGUUCAUGCUUCUCAUCGGGUUUGAUGAUAUUUUCGGUAGAGCUGAGCAGUAUUUUCUCCCUGUUUGUCCACUACCGAGAAAACACGCACUCAGACGAUGCCAUACACGCGUGUGUAAUCAGCACGAGGUUUUGGGAAAACGAAACUAUUUUGUGCACGGCGACUGGUGGCCGAUUUAUGCAUGAUCCAUAAUCGGACGCUGUUGAGGCUCGUACUACGUGUUUUGCUGGCUCAUCUUUGGUAAAGAUUGAUCGGGUCAUCAGCCGUUCGCCUCUCUUCUCCGUCCAUCUCUCAUGACAACACAACCCAUGUUGUAAACCUUGUUGCAACACGACCCAUGUCGUCCCCGGCGUCCCCCACAACAUCGGCUCCAGCACCGGCGACCGGCGUUUGCAACUUGGCGGUGUCUCCCACAACUCUCGCNNNNNNNNNNNNNNNNNNNNNNNNNNNNNNNNNNNNNNNNNNNNNNNNNNNNNNNNNNNNNNNNNNNNNNNNNNNNNNNNNNNNNNNNNNNNNNNNNNNNNNNNNNNNNNNNNNNNNNNNNNNNNNNNNNNNNNNNNNNNNNNNNNNNNNNNNNNNNNNNNNNNNNNNNNNNNNNNNNNNNNNNNNNNNNNNNNNNNNNNNNNNNNNNNNNNNNNNNNNNNNNNNNNNNNNNNNNNNNNNNNNNNNNNNNNNNNNNNNNNNNNNNNNNNNNNNNNNNNNNNNNNNNNNNNNNNNNNNNNNNNNNNNNNNNNNNNNNNNNNNNNNNNNNNGUUGGAUCGAACACACAGAUUCAAACCGUAGACAAAGUCAUGCGUAGGUGCCUGCGUAGCUGCUGGUUGCUACAGGGUUGCAUAUUGCGCACUCUGGCAGUCGUUAUAAACAGGGCCAUACCAGGGAAAUGAGAGACCCUGUGCAAAUCAAAAUUAGGCUCUACAAUCAUUUUUUUUGUCAACACUGUAAUUUUUCAUAAGAAAUUACACCAGCUGGAAGCACAAGUUCAAAAGACCUAACGACGUCACAUACUAGAUUGAUGGAUUGUGAUUGGAGAUAGAUACAUAGGGUUACUUGGCGUAAAGUACUUCCAACAGUUAUUUACUCUAGCAUUAAUGCUUCAAUUAAUACCUUGAUUAACAAAAAAAUUGGGGGCCCUCCGAUGCUGGGGGCCCUGUUCAGUUGUUCAUGUUGCACAUGUGGACAUACUGCCACGUUCAUGCACAGAGAGGCUCGGGAUGUUGGUCUUCGUCGUCGGCGCCAAAGAUGGCCACUCCCGCGGGCGGGAGGGUGAAAGAGAAAACUGAAAAGGGAUUGGGGGAAGAACAGCUACAGCAGAAGCCAGAAGGAACCAAUGAUAAUCUCUAGUGGUUAAGAGGAAGGGGAAGGCCACUGGGGUUUGAUGCCCGCUGGAGUCCGUUGUUCUUAUGGUCUUCUCUGGUUGUUCCAGUUUCCUAUAGUCUUCCCCCGGGAUGUUGUUGGGCAGUGGUUUAGUGUUGUCAUAUUUUCGCCCCAUGGUGGGUGAUCCGUUUUAGGGUCGUUAACAGUGGUUUUUCUGGCGAUGCGUCAACUCGCUCCCCCCCUUUCAGUCUCCUUUUUGCUUCUAGUCUGUCUCAUUUAGCUUUGGCUUGCCUAGUGGAUGAUAUUUUUGACAGUACUCAAACAGACUGAUAUAUUUCCGUUAAUUGCAAAGUUAAUGGAAAGGGGUGUGAGCCUGGUUGGAAGAGGAAGGGGAAGGCCACUACCGCGGCACGAUGGCCCCUAACCCUAGCACGUCUGGGCAGCGGCGGCUCAGACUAAUCUAUCGAUUUUCGGCCUCAUACCAUAUAAGUACUUUGCACUCGUUUUGGACCGAGAAAUCCUAUCCCAACUCAAACCUACCUGGUCAGUUCUUGGGCACAACCCAAACCCAAACCGAACCAAACUGGCUUUCCAUCUCUCAAUCCAAUAUAGAGACCAGACCUUCAUAUACAUAGACCAAAUCAAAAACCAAAGAGACCAAAAACUAAGAUUCGAAAAAAAUUACUAUUCCCAGAUUUACAUGAAGCUCGAGUGAAGUGCACGACACAGCCACCCUCUAGAAAUAAUCGACCCCGGCCGCCGCAAAUCUCUGGCAAUCUGUGGAUCCCGACGUCCACCACGAUCGACGUCAAUGGGGCAGAAAGGCAGGAAGCGUAAGGGCAUCCCUCUCCUCCUCCCAAGUCGAAGAUCGCCCGUAUCAGUGAGCCUCUGACCUAACUGAUCGACUCCACGCCCGAUUAUAUAUCUGAAUGAACGGGCGGUUAUUAGUUUUUCCCUGGUAACCUUCCCUCACUGCCUGAGUUUGCUUGCUUCACUUGCGUGCAGUUGACAAGUUGGGUCACAGUGGGGCCAUCUUACUGCUGUUUGAGACACCCUCUGGCUUCGCCGUAUUCGUGUAUGAUGGUGUCCAACUCUACUAGCAAAAAGCCGAGGAGGUAGUAUGUUCUUCCUUCUGCUCAUUUACUUGCUUGCCGGCUUUUUUUAGAAAAGGAGGAAGAUCCCCGACCUCUGCAUCUGGACGAUGCAUGCAGUCACUUUAUUAACUAUUCACACAAGACCUUACAAAGUCAUAUAACAGUAAGACUAAAGCCCCCGUCUGGCAACAUCUGUCGCUACUCCUAUCCAGUUGAUGAAGGGAUGCUGAUAGUCUGGGCCUAAUACUAAACAGACCUCGCAGCCAAAACUAAACAUCUAAGACCCGAGGUCCCAAUCAGGAUGCCUGUCGGGUAUGGGCCACCUACCAAUCCGGCGCACUCCUCAACUAGGACGCCUGCCGGGUACGAGGCCGCCGCAUACUUGCUUGCCAGCUGAUCUUGCCUUGUCAUUCACCUAACCUUCUGGAUUUUCCUGCAGAAAAUCUGGGCCAACUUUGUCAAGGACUACAUGCCGCACAAAGUCUGUACACAUUUCUUUCCUUUGCAUCAAAAUAAUUAUCAUUUUCCCAUUUUUUUGUACUCUGUACUUUUGUAUAUUGAGGUCAUUAGUUGUUUUUUUUCUUUGUAUUCUGUUGGCAGAGCAUAUAGUUGACGCUGUUGCAGGCAUGCCAAAAAAAAACCUUUUUUUCCCUGAAAGUUCAACAUUGUGUGAGCAAAGCGAUUUAUGAAUAAUCACCUGGUACAGGUUGGAACGUAAGGAGUGUAUUGCUGUGCAUCAAUUUUUAGCUAGUAGUAACUGCUAGCUAGAUAUAAUAUGGUUUAGCCCUGAGACUACCAAAAUAGACCACUAGUGUCCAUGCAUUUUGAAAGACAUUAUCUUAGCUCAUGAAGUUAUUUUCAUUUACGUACGCUGCACGAAAACCAGGACUUGGAUAAGGCUAUAUCUUCUUAGACAUAACUACUGAAUUGGCCUCCUCUCAUGAUUUAGAGUUUGAAUAAUUAUUAUUAUUUACUUUUCAUAUCUUGAUCAGGUCAUUUGGCUACAAGAGUUCAGGAGAUUCGAGAACAAGGCCAAUGUAUUUAAUCAUACUGGUGUCAGCAAAGAACUUGCAGAGAUGAUCCAAAGAUGGCACGCCCCUGGUCAGCUGCUAGCUGUCGGAAAGCCUGAGCACAAAGAAAUCAUCGAAGCAAAAUUGGUCAGUAUUAAUUAGCUCCCUUCUUUGCUUACUAUGUCCAGGAGCAAUUUUGAGCAAUACUUUCACCGUGGCAGAAAAUACGCUGCCUGUAUAAUGAAGCUGUGUUGGAGGUCAUGUGGGGCAUAAAAAAUCUCAUGAAGAGUUUAGUGCCUCUUGAAGAUGGUGAGCUGAGCAAAGAAGACCGGCUUCCGAUGAGUUAUGGGAUGAAAACUGUCCUCAAUCGUCAUGGAUUCGAUGUCACGCCGGAAAUGGUGAGAAUACCUUUCGCUUAAUGUCCCCCUACGUCUGGCAUGAAAUGCUCUGCUUUAUAGCUCCUUGACAUUCACUUUCCAAUAGUUCGCUGCAGUGACCGAAGUUUUCGAUGCAAUGUUAUUCGUCUAGAUGUUUUCCUUUUUGCAAACAUUUUUCUGCUAGAGAGAUGAUUAUGCAAUGCUCCUUGUAUCCUGCCAGGUUAAUGACAAGAUUAUCGAGUAUGCGUGCGUCUUGUAUGACUGCUAGUUAGUAUGCGGGCCCAAGCAUUCUGAAUGUUUGCAAAGAUGUGGUGAGAUCCUCCAAGAGGUGUCCAGCAUUCAGUGUGAGGGAUGGAGCGUGAUGAAAAUUGCGACAGCUUUGAAGAUUUUAAUCUUCCCUCAUGACGAUGAUGAUGACGAUGAUGACGACGACGAUGAUGAAGCAUAUCCCGAACUGGUAAAUCAUAGACCAAGUACAAUAUUUUGUAAAAUUGUUCUUAGCAUCUCCCUGAUGUAAACUUCGCAUUCACUAAGUUGUCAGGACUCAAGAAAAGAAGUACUUCGCCCUUUUCCUUCAGUAAAUACGCCCAUGGUUGUUUAUUUUCAGGAAUUCUCAGAAGAAGAGCUCUGUAAGUUGAGGAAUGAUGGAUCACUCUACGACGGAAAACUUCUGAAGCGGUCCUGUAUGUGCGUGUACAACGAGAUGGUGCGGGCCCGUAAACUUAUGGCCACUACGGAGAUACGACUGGAGCUGUUGAUCCUAGAGUCCCAGGAAGCGCAUCAAGAGCCUGAAACUGAACCGGGGUAGGAUGUCAGAUGGGUCUGUAAAAAUCGUUGGCACUGUCCUGAAUAUAUUAUCAGACAGCUGAAUAAUUCAUUACCUGACGCCUUGCGCUGUUGCUUCCUCCUGUCUCAUAUGCAACCUCAGCCUUCUCUUCCCCCUCCAGCUCCGGCGAGCUCAACAAAUUAUUAUCAGGAGUAUGGCUAGACUUGACUCUUGUCAGGAGUGACGUCCGCCAUGAUCUCAUCGAAUGUAUUUGACGUUGUCGAGUGGGAUUUAUGUGUUCGUACCAAACUUCAUGUAGAUAGCCUCAUUUCUCGACUACUCCCUCUGUAAACUAAUAUAAGAGCGUUUUAUAUUAGUUUACAGAAGGAGUACAUUUGUUUUUUUGGGCCAAGGACGCAAUGGGUCGUUUAGUAAAGAUAAAGGAGGAAAAAGACGAUGAAGUCGCAUUGUCUUCAUGCGACUUCAUGGCUGCCACACAAUACAAGAUUGUAUUAGAGUUGAGAGCUGCAUUUGAACUCCAGCAAAAGGCUGAGGAAGGGGUAAAAUAUGGACUUGUCUCAUCUCCACAGUAACAUGGGCACAUACAGCUAUAAGUAAAACACAAGAGUAUAAUAAUGACCUAUUUAUUGACCUAUAGGAUAAGGAUACAUCCUUGCACUUGUGUUUGCCAGAUUAGCAUUUAUUCCCAUGUUUUUCUUGGCGCAAGAUGAUUCCUCCUGCUGACUUUACGACGUGGUUUCUGUUUCUCAAAAGUAACUAUGUAGUCGCGGUAAGGUGGGAUCCGAGAUCUCCAUGCCAACACAUCAAACUUGUCUUCAUCAUCAGGAAUUUCAGCACCGGUUAGCAGUUGUUGCCAUGUCAGUUUUGGCAGCUCACUUUGCUCCGGGCCAGUCUCCCUCAAAUCGUAAGCCCAACAUCCUUGAACCUUAGCCCCCACAUAGGACAACUUGGUGAAGUUGAUAGGGAUAUUUCUCUCGAAAAGGUCCUCAGGGUGUAUGCCGAAGGAGCCAUGCUUGCGAACUAGUUCUCUUAUCCUCAGUAACAUGCUGCACCAAAAUUUAGUAUCAGGAUUAGCUCUUAAUACCCCACCAAUUAUAUUUGCACCAAGAAAAGAUCCGUUUAGCUGAGUAGCCAACUGCAUUCCCAGAGAUGCCAGUUUUGGGUACUCAUCAGGAUCCAUGCUUCCAAAGGCAAGUGCCUUGAAGAAGUACCAGUAUUCUUCUUGCGGCAAACUCUUCAUCCUGAUGGGUUGGGCAGUUCCCAUUUCAGCAACUUGAUCUGUUCUGCCUAUCACUACAAUUUUACUCCCAGCACCUGGCAUCUUCUGCAGACAUGAUCGGAAGUUUUCCCAUGCUGCCGCAUUCACAUCCCAACUGAAAUCAACAACAAAUAAGUACUUCCCCGAGCCUGCCUUGCAGUUGACCGCAAAUUCUCCGAUAUGCGGGUCAUCGCCUUUAUAGAAAAACAUGUCGGAGAAACGACCCCGCACCCUCUCAUCCCUGCAAGCAUGUUGCACCAGAGUUUUCUUUCCGACUCUGCACGGGCCGAUGAUCGGAAGGAUGCUGAAAUUUGUUCCAUCAUGACUAUCAACACCAGAUAGUAAGAAGUUGAGGAGUUGCUCUUUCUCGAUGUGGCGACCAAACAUGCACUUAUCCAUGUGUAGAUACGUAUCAUAUGGCUGGCGAGACAGGCGAGGGCAGCUGCCAAGGAGCAUCACAAACUCUCUCAUAUCUGCAGUAUGAGCCUCCAAACUUUCAACAACACUUUUCAACUUUGUUGUGCUCCCGGUCCCAAAUGCUACUGGUGUGUUCUUUGAUAUAGAAGCAGCAAAGCGAAGGCGCUUGGCGGUAUUAAAAGUAGAAACGGCAAAAGAUUGGCUCCGAUGACUCACCUCGUCAUCUUCGAUGCUCUCUUCUCCAAGAGACUGGACCCUGAGCCUGUCCAGCAUGUAGUACCCAAGAUACAUACCCUCGAUGAGCGCCUUCAGCUGCCGGAGCAUCCCUCGAUUUGUGAUGUGCCGCCCCUCUGCUUCUUCAACAACGCUGUGCAUCCUCAGCAAGAUGCGUUCCAGCCUUGUACGAUCCUCCUCCUCGCAUGUGUGGGUGCCAUAACUUUGAGCCAGGAAAGAGAUGAACCUGCUGACAAGAUCGCCCGCAGCUGCUGAAAUCAGAACCUCCAUGCUGAACUGAGCUGAGAUGAGACCUCCCUGGGAGCAAUGACCAAAUGGAAGAUAAUUUGCAGAUUAAGAGCAGCAACACGAUCCCAGAGGUGACUUGAAGGGGCCGGUCAAUAAAGGCUGCAGUCUUCCAGAAGCAUGACUUUUUCAACAAAGCAUAAUCAGUGACUUAAUGCAGUUCAAACAGUUGAAUAUUCCUACACCACAAAAAGUAUUUAUUUCAGUCUUCUGUUUAUACAUUUUAAAGAAUGCAGCUGGAAGAACCAUUUUGUGGUUUGUAAAUAUCAACAAGUCUCCUAAUUCCACAAGUGGACUGCCUCAAAACAAAAACAAUUACAGAAACUCCACAAAUGGACCAAAUACAAGAGUGUCACUUUCAGACUAUUUUGAUGUUUCUCUUAUUUUGUGCAGAUGAGCAAAAAGUUGACAAAAUAAAGACAGCUACUGAUGGGAUAUAAAAAUAAUAAGAUGGCUCACCAACCAAAUAAGGUUUCCUCAAAACUUGUCACUGCAUACUCUUACUGCAAAAAAUAAGAACAUCGUAGUCACAGUAUGCUGGCUCGUAGCACAGGUCAUCAUGGGCAUUUCCCUGAACAAUACCAAUGGUUACUCGGAUGCUAAGCUCUCCAAAACAUUAACAAAUUUAGCACCCAUGGUCACUCACGAUUUUGUUUUACGUAAUAUUCCUCUGUAAAUACUUUAUAGUGAUCUAAAACGUCUUAUUUCUGUUUACAGAGGGAGUAACUAUUAAGCACCCAGUAAGAAUAAGGGAAAAUAACCACGUGAAGUCCAAAACUGCAAAGCCUACGUAGUAUUGGUGGAAGGUGCAUUGUACUAUCAUACUACACUGUAACAGCUACAGUACAAUAUAUAGUAUUUGUUUCAAAGAGGCAGUAAGGAUGUGCAGGCAUCAUUAUUUCAGAUGAACUCACGACGACAAGUUGCUUGUUUUUCAGGCACGGAGAUUAUUCAGUUAUGGUUGUGGCGAGAAAGAAUCAGAAAUUCAGAAUGCAAUGCCUAAGAUAGUAAGAUGCCCUUUACUCUGGGACCAGGGACGAGACAGAGCAUGCAUGCAGACGCAGCUAGCGGAAACAGGGGAGCUGCUUCAGGCAUGAUCUGUUUCCGGCAACCAAUGCAAGCCAAUUUUUUUUGUACGGCCAUCUUAUUACAUGCUCUAGAAGAUAAUUUUGCUAUUCUAAAAAUUUAGACCAUAAUGGGAAAGAAGAAAAAAUUUAGACCAUCUUACUACAGCUGGGUAUAUGCUCCUCGCAGCUCCUGUUGCUGUCAUAGUUAGUAACACACUGAUCAUCUCAGCAAUUAUAUUUCUUUUCUUUUCUUGCGGAUGGGCAAUUAUAUUUCUGGUAUAAUCAUUCACCUUCCUUUUUUUUCACCCAGGCAUCCCCCUUUCCAUUAAUCGCUUUACAAAAAGAUAGCAGUAUCCAGCGUAUUACAACCAUUCAAAGACCAGCGCACCAGCAAAAACAAAAAACUACUACAUUAGUGUCAAAAACACUCUUCUAUUAUGGGACGGAGGGAGUGCAGACUACACUAGUGUCAAAAAACGCUCUUAUAUUAUACUGUAGGACGGAGGGAGUCCAGGAAACCUGCACCUAUUAGAGGAGAAAAACCUGAUACCACCAAAACUACCCAAACAGUAUCAUAGCAGUCUCACAAGACAGUAAUAAAAAGACUAAAGCAAGACCAACAGACACAUGACCAGACAAACGUUCCACGAACAAAAGCACCAGGCCACGAUGAAGGAUGAAGCGAGUCCCACGAUCCUAGACUUUUCUCCUGAAUCAGUACGCGAUGAUCGAUGAUAUUCAGUACUGUAGUAUUAUUUCAGGGCAGCAAGCAGCACAAGAGGUUACAAUAAACCAUCACGUCAUCAUUACCAGGCCUGAUCAUUACACAAAUCAACGACGGUUAGGACACAUGCAACAGGCGCCGCUUGUGCCUGCAUAGCUUUUAAUCAUCUCUAAACACCCUCUAAUUAGCACAGUAUAUUACAAGCAUGUCAAUCCUACAACGGGAGCAAACCACAACACACCAAAUUCCUAGCUAUAAACAUAUUUAUUUAUUUAUUUAAUAACUACGCCUGCUUCUACAUUACGGCUGUCGCGGUAUUAUCACAGCAACUCCUGGUGCCGACAAGCAGCAAAGCCCUUACAUAAGCUCAGGUUCCAUCUGAAACUGGAGAAAGCACAAAUCACUCAAGCUCAGGUUCCAGUGAAAAUCACUCAAGCUCAGGUUCCAGUGAAUUAGAUGGCCAGUGAGCAGACAGACAACUGAACCGACAAGCAGAAGCCCUUAUAAGCUCAGGUUCCAUCUGAAAUUGGGGAAAGGACAAGUCAGGCUACAGAAAUAUCGUGGAUCAACAUAACACGAAUCACUCGAGAAUUAAGUUUCAGCAAUAAAAACAGCGCACAUACAUGACAUGAGCUUCUCCUCAGGACAUGUCAGCACCAUGCAGAAGACACGACCAACACUCUGCUCUUCCAACCAAGGUAAAGGACUCCGUCCCUCUCCUCAAGCCUGUAGCAACUGUGGUAGCUAUCCAGCAGUGUUUUGAUGGUGUUGUUCACCACCGAACUCAGCGGGUACGGCCUGAAUCCAGCCAUUGCAAACCUAGCCUUCCAUUUCCCAAACACCUCAUGCCUCUCAACCCUUUCAGCACCCUCACACGCGAUUAAAUUGACGAUAUCCCUUGCGACACAGUGCUGCUCCGUGCUAAUCCGUCUCUUGUCAUCCCUUGGGAGAGCAACGUCUAUUGACUCAAACAUUGCCAUAUAGUAGUCGAGAGUCUCCAAGUACCUUGGCAAGAAUGCACUUGUGUUUGUGUUCGACUCCUGCUCAACAAGAGUCACCACCCUAGGGGACAGGCUCUUGAUCAUUCUUGCAAUCCUGUCCCGGUGAUUUUCCACGCUCACGCUUUCAUCAGGAGUAUGGUGCAGCUGAUAGGCAAAAUUCACUACAAUAGCCUCCCCAGGUCUUAUGUCCAGAUGCUGAAUAUAAACCUCAUGGCUAGCAGCACGAACAGCAUUGAACUCAAAGGGCAGGCCACACGAAGCAGAGACACUAUGCAAUUUUGUCCCAACCAUAUCCAGUCCACCACCUCGGGCAUAAGCAGAGUUUGAGUCAUCUAUACCAGUGAUUCUUAGGAAUGGUGGACCCCCGGGCCUCGCUGCAAGAGCCUGAAUGAUAGUUAUCCACUGGCUCCCCUGUGCGAUUUGGAAAUCAAUGAUGUGAAUGAAGUUCUCGCCUUUGAUAGCUUCUGCUAUGGCACCAUUGGCUGACAUGUAACCAAACUUGUAGAAUGGGCAGAUCUCACAGAGGAGAUGCAUGUAAGACAUGAGCUCAGAGCCUGUAGGUUCUUUGCACUUCAAGGAUUUAUACAGCUUACUUCCAGAGAAAGAGAGCCUGGCCACAAGCCCUUCCAACAUGUAUGCUCCUAGGCGUUGCAUUGGAUCUCCAGAGACAGACACCAGCUGACCUAGCUCAGAUAUCAAUAGUUCUGUCGCAUACAUAUCAUUCGCAGCAACAGCCUUACCACAUGCUAUGAUCACCUGCUUCAAGUCUCCCGUGUCAAUUCCCAAAAGCUGUCUCCAGUUAUCUUGUUUCAAAGGAUGGUUGGCUUGCAAUAAGCUCUCGGGGCUGUCAGAGGCUAUGUCCAAUUCAGGUCCAAGAAUUGCAUUUUCUAGCUCCUUUAGUUUACUCUGGAAAUCCGGUAUCUCGGUAACACAUGAAGCAGUUGGGGGUGAAUCAUAUGUGUGGUAUGAGUGGCUAUCAUUCUGAGACAGGGGGCUCCCACUUAUAGGGGAGAUGCUAUGAGAAGAUGUCGAACUCUGUGUAGGAUAAACACCAUUUGCUGAUGAUGAUUCGAGUGUGCAGUACUGUGCUUCAAAUACUUGAGGAUUGGAACUAAUUUUCUGUGACCCAUCACCUGAAGAUGUGUAGUGAACAUCCAGAUGAUUUCAUCAGAUGAUACAUGAGUCCCUAAUUCCGAAUCAAGAGAUUUGUUGUGGAAUUUGUCAAUUGAGUAAAGUAAUAAUAUUAAGAACUAGAUCAUCUAACCCCAUUGAAUGAAAAAAUGAAAUUCGAUUUUCAAGGAAAUUUUUGAAUAAGAGAUAAAUAAACAAUUGAAUUGAAAAAAAAAAACUUCUUUCUAUUUUGGAUAAUUUCUUUUUCAAUAGGACCCUCUUUUUGGAGUGAACGAUCGAAUAUUCCCCUAUUCCUUCUUAUUUUAACUGAUUGUAUUCCAUAUGGAA
rnacentral:lncRNA from 1 species